rnacentral:rRNA from 1 species
GGUUAAGUGACUAAGCGUAUACGGUGGAUGCCUAGGCAGUUAGAGGCGAUGAAGGACGUGUAAGUCUGCGAAAAGUUGUGGGGAGCCGACAAAAUGCUUUGAUCCACAAAUGUCCGAAUGGGGAAACCCACCGCUUCGGCGGUAUUGUAACGUGAAUACAUAGCGUUAUGAGGCAAACGAGGGGAACUGAAACAUCUAAGUACCCUUAGGAAAAGAAAUCAACCGAGAUUCCCCUAGUAGCGGCGAGCGAACGGGGAUUAGCCCUUAAGCUAAUUACAAGCGAGUGGAAUGUGCUGGAAAGCACAGCGAUACAAGGUGAUAGCCCUGUACACGAACGCGAAUUUUAAGUGAAAUCGAGUAGGUCGGGACACGUGUUAUCUUGACUGAAUAUGGGGGGACCAUCCUCCAAGGCUAAAUACUCCUAACUGACCGAUAGUGAACUAGUACCGUGAGGGAAAGGCGAAAAGAACCCCUGUGAGGGGAGUGAAAUAGAACCUGAAACCGUAUACGUACAAGCAGUGGGAGCAGACUUGUUCUGUGACUGCGUACCUUUUGUAUAAUGGGUCAGCGACUUAUAUUUUGUAGCAAGGUUAACCGAAUAGGGGAGCCGUAGCGAAAGCGAGUGUUAACUGCGCGUUUUAGUUGCAAGGUAUAGACCCGAAACCCGGUGAUCUAGCCAUGGGCAGGUUGAAGGUUGAGUAACAUCAACUGGAGGACCGAACCGACUAACGUUGAAAAGUUAGCGGAUGACUUGUGGCUGGGGGUGAAAGGCCAAUCAAACCGGGAGAUAGCUGGUUCUCCCCGAAAGCUAUUUAGGUAGCGCCUCGGACGAAUACCACUGGGGGUAGAGCACUGUUAAGGCUAGGGGGUCAUCCCGACUUACCAACCCUUUGCAAACUCCGAAUACCAGUGAGUACUAUCCGGGAGACACACGGCGGGUGCUAACGUCCGUCGUGAAGAGGGAAACAACCCAGACCGCCAGCUAAGGUCCCAAAAUUAUUGCUAAGUGGGAAACGAUGUGGGAAGGCUAAGACAGCUAGGAGGUUGGCUUAGAAGCAGCCACCCUUUAAAGAAAGCGUAAUAGCUCACUAGUCGAGUCGGCCUGCGCGGAAGAUGUAACGGGGCUAAGCAAUAUACCGAAGCUGCGGACGCAUAGUUUACUAUGCGUGGUAGGGGAGCGUUGUGUAAGUGGCUGAAGGUGAACUGAGAGGUUUGCUGGACAUAUCACAAGUGCGAAUGCUGACAUGAGUAACGAUAAUGCGGGUGAAAAACCCGCACGCCGGAAGACCAAGGUUUCCUGUCCCAUGCUAAUCAGGGCAGGGUAAGUCGGCCCCUAAGGCGAGGCAGAAAUGCGUAGUCGAUGGGAAACGGAUUAAUAUUUCCGUACUUGGUAUAUCAGUGAUGGGGGGACGGAGAAGGUUAUGCAAGCAUAGCGUUGGUUGUCUAUGUGAAAGUGUGUAGGGUUGAAUCUUAGGUAAAUCCGGGAUUCUACAUGCCUGAGACACGAGACGAGACUCUACGGAGUUGAAGUUGCAAAUACCCUGCUUCCAGGAAAAGCCUCUAAACUUAUGAUAUAUCGAACCGUACCCCAAACCGACACAGGUGGUCAGGUAGAGAAUACUAAGGCGCUUGAGAGAACUCGGGUGAAGGAACUCGGCAAAAUCGUACCGUAACUUCGGGAGAAGGUACGCCGCUGUUUGUGAUGAGACUUGCUCUCUAAGCGAAUGGCGGCCGCAGUGAAAAGGUGGCUGGGACUGUUUAUUAAAAACACAGCACUGUGCUAAAUCGAAAGAUGACGUAUACGGUGUGACACCUGCCCGGUGCCGGAAGGUUAAUUGAUGGGGUUAGCGCAAGCGAAGCUCUUGAUCGAAGCCCCGGUAAACGGCGGCCGUAACUAUAACGGUCCUAAGGUAGCGAAAUUCCUUGUCGGGUAAGUUCCGACCUGCACGAAUGGUGUAACCAUGGCCACGCUGUCUCCACCCGAGACUCAGUGAAAUUGAAAUCGCAGUGAAGAUGCUGUGUACCCGCACCUAGACGGAAAGACCCCGUGAACCUUUACUAUAGCUUGGCACUGAACAUUGACCCUACAUGUGUAGGAUAGGUGGGAGACUUUGAAGCGUGAACGCCAGUUU